UCCCUGGAGGACUAGUGGUUAGGCCUCGGAGCUCUUGCCACCACAGCCCGGGUUCAAUUCCCGACCAGGGAA
rnacentral:tRNA from 1 species